GGGCAUUGGCGGCAGCUACACAUGCAGUCGAGCGGUAGCACAGAGAGCUUGCUCUCGGGUGACGAGCGGCGGACGGGUGAGUAAUGUCUGGGAAACUGCCUGAUGGAGGGGGAUAACUACUGGAAACGGUAGCUAAUACCGCAUAAUGUCGCAAGACCAAAGAGGGGGACCUUCGGGCCUCUUGCCAUCAGAUGUGCCCAGAUGGGAUUAGCUAGUAGGUGGGGUAACGGCUCACCUAGGCGACGAUCCCUAGCUGGUCUGAGAGGAUGACCAGCCACACUGGAACUGAGACACGGUCCAGACUCCUACGGGAGGCAGCAGUGGGGAAUAUUGCACAAUGGGCGCAAGCCUGAUGCAGCCAUGCCGCGUGUAUGAAGAAGGCCUUCGGGUUGUAAAGUACUUUCAGCGGGGAGGAAGGUGCUGAGGUUAAUAACCUCAGCAAUUGACGUUACCCGCAGAAGAAGCACCGGCUAACUCCGUGCCAGCAGCCGCGGUAAUACGGAGGGUGCAAGCGUUAAUCGGAAUUACUGGGCGUAAAGCGCACGCAGGCGGUCUGUCAAGUCGGAUGUGAAAUCCCCGGGCUCAACCUGGGAACUGCAUUCGAAACUGGCAGGCUAGAGUCUUGUAGAGGGGGGUAGAAUUCCAGGUGUAGCGGUGAAAUGCGUAGAGAUCUGGAGGAAUACCGGUGGCGAAGGCGGCCCCCUGGACAAAGACUGACGCUCAGGUGCGAAAGCGUGGGGAGCAAACAGGAUUAGAUACCCUGGUAGUCCACGCCGUAAACGAUGUCGACUUGGAGGUUGUGCCCUUGAGGGUGGCUUCCGGAGCUAACGCGUUAAGUCGACCGCCUGGGGAGUACGGCCGCAAGGUUAAAACUCAAAUGAAUUGACGGGGGCCCGCACAAGCGGUGGAGCAUGUGGUUUAAUUCGAUGCAACGCGAAGAACCUUACCUACUCUUGACAUCCAGAGAACUUUCCAGAGAUGGAUUGGUGCCUUCGGGAACUCUGAGACAGGUGCUGCAUGGCUGUCGUCAGCUCGUGUUGUGAAAUGUUGGGUUAAGUCCCGCAACGAGCGCAACCCUUAUCCUUUGUUGCCAGCGGUCCGGCCGGGAACUCAAAGGAGACUGCCAGUGAUAAACUGGAGGAAGGUGGGGAUGACGUCAAGUCAUCAUGGCCCUUACGAGUAGGGCUACACACGUGCUACAAUGGCGCAUACAAAGAGAAGCGACCUCGCGAGAGCAAGCGGACCUCAUAAAGUGCGUCGUAGUCCGGAUUGGAGUCUGCAACUCGACUCCAUGAAGUCGGAAUCGCUAGUAAUCGUAGAUCAGAAUGCUACGGUGAAUACGUUCCCGGGCCUUGUACACACCGCCCGUCACACCAUGGGAGUGGGUUGCAAAAGAAGUAGGUAGCUUAACCUUCGGGAGGGCGCUACCACUUGGAUUCGUGG
rnacentral:rRNA from 1 species